AUGUUCAUUAGAGGAGGUCUAACUACAACAACGGAUAUUCAAAAGCCCUACGAGAGCAAAAUCAUGAGCAGAGCAGUCUGGAUAAUAAAAAUUAACAUCUAGAUGUAAAGAAUUUUUUACAGAUUACAUUUGCUCCAAUGAGUAUGCUGUGGUUUUAAACUCAAGACUGGAACCAUCAUUUUCAAAGGCAAUUACCCAGUUAAAUGCUAAAUUAAGGGAGGAGGGGGAACUGUUCUUAGGAAAAUCUAGAACUGAUUCCAGUCUGCACUAGAGGACUGAAGUUAUAAUACAAUUAUAAUGUAUAAGAUGCAUAGUAGUCAGUCUUCUGGUGAAGGGUAUCUCGGAGCUCACCUGUGAUGGUCUUCUGAAUGACAGACGUGUAAUAUUUUGCCAGAAUCAUACUCAGAGUUUUCCUCUUGGAAGGACUUGCCAGCACUUGUAGUGGCAUAAUAUUCAAGAACCCAGGGCCAAGCCUCCCAAAUUUGAUGCAUUAGCUGCAUUGCCCUGAAAAUACCUUGAAUCUUAAGGAAUUGCUAGAAGCACUGGACGCCCUGCUUCAGACAUUUGCUGAGUUCUGCCAAUCUAAAAAUGGCCAUUUUU